rnacentral:lncRNA from 1 species
AGAAAUUAUACCGUUAUUUCAGGUGGGAAUGUGGAAGCUUGGAAAUGUUCGUCAAUUUAAUCAGAUUUUUAUCCAUAGAUCUGUGAGUGGAAAAAAUUAAAUAUUUUCAAGUAUUGAUAAAUUAAUUAUACCAAUACAUUAUGUGCAUUUAUAUGUUCAAUUACAUGAUUAUUUUGGAAAUAUUCUUUCAUUAUGAUAUUUGUAGAAUUCAAAGAUUAGAUAUGAAAAUAUUUGUGAUUUGGAAUGUGAGACAUGUGAUAUUAAGAUUGACCAGAAAAGUACCCAUGAUUAUAUAUUUCUUCU